GGGGAAGGAGAAGUCAGGCGCUCCGGGCUCGCCCGCUAGGUCGGGGCCGCGGCGUCCCCCACCCUAAGUCCCACCUCCGGCCGGGCAUGGGUACCCGGGCGGGCCUGCCUCGGCCUGGGCCCACUCACUGGUCCAGAAGCAGCUGUAGGUGCCCACCAAGCCCAUGACGACGCUGCUGGCCAGGGUCCAGGAGUCUCGCUCUGUCGCCAGACUGGAGUGCAGUGGCACAAUCUCGGCUCACUGCAACCUCCGCCUCCCGGGUUCAAGCUAUUCUCCUGCCUCAGCCUCCUGAGUAGCUGGGACUACAGGCGCAGGUCGCCACGCCCGGCUAAUUUUUUUUUUUUUUUGUAUUUUAGUAGAGAUGGGGUUUCACCAUGUUGCCCAGGUUGGUCUCGAACUCCUGAGCUCAGGCAGUCCACCCACCUCAGCCUCCCAAAGUGUGAGUCAUCCUACCUGGCCUGUUUUUUAUUUUUAAACCAUAAUUUAUUGAUUUUUUUUUUUGAGAUGGAGUCUCGCACUGUCGCCCGGGCUGGAGUGCGAGUGCAGUGGUGUGAUCUCGGCUCACUGCAAGCUCCGCCUUCCAGGCUCAAGCAAUUCUCCUGCCUCAGCCUCCUGAGUAGCUGGGAUUACAGGCGCCCACCACCACGCCGGGCUAAUUUUUUGUAUUUUUAGUAGAAACGGGUUUCAUUAUGUUGGCCAGGCUGGUCUUGAACGCCUGACCUCGUAUCCACCCGCCUCAGCCUCCCAAAGUGCUGGGAUUACAGGCAUGAGCCACCA
rnacentral:lncRNA from 10 species